GAAGGUGGCUCAGUGGUAGAGUGCUUGCCUCCUAUGCAUGGGGGCCUAGGUUCAACUCCUCAACACUGUCA
rnacentral:tRNA from 1 species